GGCGCCGCCGGACGUACUGCGCAGGCGCGGGUAGGAGGCGGAGCCUUGCGGCGAGGGCGGGGCCUGGCGCUGCUCACCUGGAGGGUGGGGCGCGCACCCGUGGCCGCCAGGUGCGCGCUGGGGAACCGCGGGCCGCGCGCAGACCUGGUCUCCCUUAGGAACGAAGCAGGGUCAGGAGGGCGAACGGUGAGCCGCGGGCGCCCGGGCGCCAGCAUUUGCACUUGCACAGGAGGACGGGUUUCAGGAACUAUCCUCUUUGUCCUGGGACGUUACAUCCGCUGUCUCGGGGCCUGGCUAGCUGCGGAGAAGCGUGGGGCUGGGUCACGUGACCGUGCGCGGCGCAGGUGCGCUCUCGACCCUGCAGAGCAGCAGCUUAGGGCUGCAGGACGCUAGCCCUUUAAAAAUAUGAAUGGGCUCCCCAAGCUCCCUCGAAGAUACACCGCCUUGCUGCACGCCGCACUGCGCAGAGGCCGGGAAGCUUGGCUCUGCUGCAAAGCCCAGGGCCUCCUGCAAACACGGCUGAGAGCACCUGCUGCAAACACCUGGCCUGGCCUCUCUGCAGCCACUGCCCUAGAAGUCACCCCGAGCUCCUCGCAAGGCUGCAAGCCGAGACUUCGCACGAUCGCACGUGAAUCCGUGCGACUUCGGUUCCAGUAAUGCUGCUCAGAGAAUGUUCAUAGCAACAUGGUUCCUUUGCAUCAUGGAAUAAACAAUAGUGACCUGCUGAUUUUGAAAUGCUGCGCCUUCCAGCUGUUCCCAAGGACAUCCUGGUUUUACUUUUGAGCUGCUUUGCUGCUGUCUCCUCCCUGUCACAGAGUUAGGAGCAGCUCAUCCCCAGAUUAGGGGCCUUGGGGGACACUUUGAAAGAAGCGUGCUUGGCUCUGAAGUGGGAAUGGGGAGUGCUUCCAAGCUCAGGUUUUUGGUGAGUUCACACAGCACAUAACUGUUUACCAAUGUAAAUACACUGACACACAAAAGAAAUAGAUAAACAUAAGAAAAUUUUUAAAAAAGAUGUGCCACUUAAUACAGUAGAGAACAUUGAAUAGGGUAGAAGAUUGAAGAAUAACACAGAAAACAAGAGAGGCUAAAAGAAGGGAGCCAGUGCAGGAGGACUUCUCUCCUCAAGAAACAUCAAAGAAGAAGGAAGGAAGGAGCGAGAAGGAAGGAGGGCAAAGCCCUGUCCCCCCAUCAUGCACUCAGACGUUGGGAUGGUGUGGACUCUCAGAUCUUAGCGGGUACAAUAUUAAACUCACCCCCACGCCCAUUCUGAGGCCACACCACUUCUUCAGACUACAUAGUGAUGCCGCAUGUGCCGGGAUACAAGUGAUCCUAGAUCCCCAAAGGAUGAUAGGAGGAGGACUGUAAGUUUGAGGCCUCCCUGGGAAACAAAGUGAGUGAGACCAUGUGUCAAAAACAGACCAACAUGUAGACCCCUGGAGUAAAGAGGACAGAGAUGAAACUGAGGUGUCGUGGGCCUGCAAUCGCAGCUCUCAGGAGGCGACAGUGGGAAGACUAUAAAUCUGAGGCUCACCUCGGCUCUAUCUCGAGAUUGUCUUAAAACCACAUGGUGGGGCAGGGCAGAGGAGGUUUGGGGAGAGGAACUAAAGCAGCAAGCUGGUUGGUGUUGUACGACACAUUCAUCAGGUUCUUUCCUAAAUGCUAAGGCAUCAUAGGACCAAUCAAUAGCUGAUGUUUCCUGAUGGUGUGAAUGCAGGACAAAGUGCUCCCCACCUUAAUGGAAGUAGAAAUCCUGCUGAGCUGGCAGGUCCUGCUCCCCUGAGAGCUGGAGCUGCCUCAGGAAGUUAUUUAAUUCAGGCUAAACAUAAGCCAGGGGCAUUCAGGAAAGCCAUCAGUCAGGGGAGGCUGAUUCAAAAACACUUUGAACUAGGAGAGUUCUUCCAGGUCUCAGUGGAAUCUCUGAGAUGCACUCGAAGGAUGUUUUUUCUUAUCCAGGGAUUCCUCACAUAUGUUUUCUGAAUGUUUGAAAUGCUGCUCCUGAGAGAUGCCUUUAAAAAGAGAGAGGACAAAAAUGAAAAAGAAAAAAGGAAGAGAAUUGAGUAAAAAAAUGUAGAGGAGAAUUGAGUAUAAAAAUGGGGAACUGGCCGGGCAGUGGUGGCGCACGCCUUUAAUCCCAGCACUCGGGAGGCAGAGCCAGGUGGAUCUCUGUGAGUUCGAGGCCAGCCUGGUCUCCAAAGCGAGUUCCAGGAAAGGCGCAAAGCUACACAGAGAAACCCUGUCUCGAAAAACCAAAAAAAAAAAAAAAAGGGGGAACUGAAGAGGUGGUUCAGUGGUUAAGAGCAUGUGCUUGCUGUGGGAUGGUCUGUAUGUCAAAUGUGUUGCUGAUUGGUCAAUGAAUAAAUCACUGAUUGGCAGUGGCCAGGCAGGAAGUAUAGGCGGGACUAACAGAGAGGAGAAUUGAGAGAACAGGAAGCUGGGUGGGGGGGACACUGCCAGCCGCCAUCAGGACAAGGAAGAUGUAAAGUACCGGUAAGCCACAAGCCACGUGGCAAGGUAUAGAUUAAUAGAAAUGGAUUAAUUUAAGCUGUAAGAACAGUUAGCAAGAAGCCUGCCACGGCCAUACAGUUUGUAACCAAUAUAAGUCUCUGUGUUUACUUGAUCAGGUUUGAGCGGCUGUGGGACUGGCGGGUGAGAGAGAUUUGUCCUGACUGUGGGCCAGGCAGGAAAACUCUAGCAACAUGUGCUGUUUUGCAGAGGACCCGAGCUCAGUUCUCAGCACCCAAGUCAGGCAGCUCACAAUUGUAUAAACUGAUGACAUGAUUGCUGCGUGGUAUGGUUAUGGGUAAGGUUUUUAUUAUAGAUAUGAGAGAGAAUAGCCAGAGGCAUCUGGGAGAGUCUAGAACACAGAGAAAAAGAAAUAGACUGAACAUGGCCAGCAGACUGGACCUGGCUAGGGCUACCUGUGAGAGAGGGGAGAAUGGCAGGAGAGAAAGAAGAGAGAAAAUGUAGUGAGAGAAGCA